ensembl:lncRNA
AAUUUGGGAGCAAGGUUUUGCUGUGGACAAUUUGCAAUGCAGAGCAUCUGUCCUUGUACAAUUAAGACUAGACUGUCCCCAGUUCUGGUUUGUGAGUUAUGGAAUUUGAGGUCUGUGAACCCAAUAAAGAAAACAACGACAUAGCCUCUCCUCCCAGCUCAGCUAAUCAAUGAGACCAUCAGAAUAAUAGCUUUGCCUGGGACAGGUCAAGCCAGUGCUGCCCUGGGCCUUUUCAGUUAGCCUCACAGAAAUCAGUCGUGUCCCCAUCCUUCCUCUGUCUGGGAAGUAGGGGGAGAGCCAGACAACCUCCCCUCCAGCUCUCUCAUGAGUUUGUCUGCUGAUGACUUUGAAAAGCCAGCCGUAGCGAGAAGGAAGGGAAUUUGCUUAAAGUUAAGUGUCCAAUGUUCUUUAAAGUAAUAGAAGGCUUUCUUUGAUAUUUAUUUAUUAUUUGACUAUGCUGGGUCUUAGUUGUGGCAUGUGGGAUCCUCAAUCUUCAUUGCAGCAGGCAGGAUCUUUGCUUGUGGCAUGGGGACUCUAGUUUCCUGACCAGUGAGCAAACUCAGAGCCCUGCCUUGGGCGAGCAGAGUCUUUGCCACGGGUCACCAGGGAAGUGACAGAAGUUUCAAAAUUGAAGAAUAUUUUUAAGGUUCACUUCUUCAUUUUACAGGCUUCCCCGGUGGCUCAGUGGUAGAGAAUCCACCUGCCAGUGCAGGAGAUGCAGGUUCGAUCCCUGGGUUGGCAAGAUCCCCUGGAGGNNNNNNNNNNNNNNNNNNNNNNNNNNNNNNNNNNNNNAAUUCCAUGGACAGAGGAGCCUGGUGGGCUAUAGUCCAUGGGGUCGCAAUAGAGUCAGACACGACUUAGCCACAAAACAACAACUUCAUUUUGACAAAGUAGAAAAACAAGGCUUGGAGUGUGUAUGAGGGAUGCGAGGCAGGGGUCGGGGGAGGUGGGGGGAGAAGAAACACACUGUGGAGAAAGCAAAGAUGAAUUUCAAAGGAUCGUGACUCUAUCUCUGUACCAAUUCAAUAUUCAUUGAAUAUUUAUGAUAGACACGCUUGCUCUGUAUUCCCUUUUUUAACCCCGUGACAACCUAUGAGGCUAUUACUCAGAUUAUCUUCAUUUUGCAGAUAGGAAAAUCAAGGCACAGAGAGGUUAAGUAACUUGCCCAAGGUCACACAGUUGGCAGACUAAGCUGAGAUUAGACCCAACUUGCUUGCUCUUAUACAUUCACUUCUCAGCUCUGCAGCCUCUUGGUUGUGCACAUCCUGGAACCUGUAGCUUUUUGAAAGUUACUUGUUCAUAGACAGAGUCUGGAUCCUUUGUUCAUUAAAAAAAAAUACAUCCAUUAAUUCAUUUGUCUAUACAUAUUUUCUGAGCAUCUACUAUCUAUCAGGUUCUAUGGACUCCAAAUAAGUAACACCCAGUUUCUGUCUUCCAGGAGCUCAGGAUCAGUUGAUAACCCUACUCUAGGUGGCAGUCUUCUAUUUUGUAAACUGUGUCCAUUUUUUGUUGUGACAAAUUAAAACAAACUUUCAGGGCUUAAAAUGACACCCGUUUAUUAGCUCCCACU